rnacentral:rRNA from 1 species
UACGUAGGGGGCAAGCGUUGUCCGGAAUUACUGGGCGUAAAGCGCGUGUAGGCGGUCCGGUAAGUCGGUUGUGAAAGUCCAGGGCUCAACCCUGGGAUGCCGAUCGAUACUGCCGGACUAGAGUCCGGAAGAGGCGAGUGGAAUUCCCGGUGUAGCGGUGAAAUGCGCAGAUAUCAGGAAGAACACCGAUGGCGAAGGCAGCUCUCUGGGACGGUACUGACGCUGAGACGCGAAAGCGUGGGGAGCGAACAGG